GACGAACGCUGGCGGCGUGCUUAACACAUGCAAGUCGAACGCUGAAGCUCAGCUUUUGUUGGGUGGAUGAGUGGCGAACGGGUGAGUAACACGUGAGUAACCUGCCCCCUUCUUUGGGAUAACGCCCGGAAACGGGUGCUAAUACUGGAUAUUCACUGGUCUUCGCAUGGGGGUUGGUGGAAAGGGUUUUUCUGGUGGGGGAUGGGCUCGCGGCCUAUCAGCUUGUUGGUGGGGUGAUGGCCUACCAAGGCUUUGACGGGUAGCCGGCCUGAGAGGGUGACCGGUAAAAUGGGAACUGGGUUACGGCCAAGACUCCUACGGGAGGCAGCGUUGGGAAUAUUGCACAAUGGGCGCAAGCCUGAUGCAGCGACGCCGCGUGAGGGAUGGAGGCCUUCGGGUUGUGAACCUCUUUCGCUCAUGGUCAAGCCGCAACAAUGGUUGUGGUGAGGGUAGUGGGUAAAGAAGCGCCGGCUAACUACGUG
rnacentral:rRNA from 1 species